rnacentral:rRNA from 1 species
CACGUAGGGGGCGAGCGUUGUCCGGAUUUAUUGGGCGUAAAGAGCUCGUAGGCGGCUCGGUAAGUCGGGUGUGAAAACUCGGGGCUCAACCCCGAGACGCCACUCGAUACUGCUGUGGCUUGAGUCCGGUAGGGGAGCGUGGAAUUCCUGGUGUAGCGGUGAAAUGCGCAGAUAUCAGGAGGAACACCGGUGGCGAAGGCGGCUCACUGGCCCGGUACUGACGCUGAGGUGCGAAAGCGUGGGGAGCAAACAGG